GGAUGAGCAGGAGAGGGCCCUGCUGGAGAGGCGCAGUGGUCAGAACUGCGGUGGAUGGGCUGUGAAUGGCCCCUACUGAGAGAGGCUGCAACAUCAGUUGUGGGUCAGGAGUCCAGGCAUGGCUUAGCUGGGUCCUUUGCUCAGGAUUUCCCAAGGCUGCAUCAAGGUGUCACCUCAUUUGGGUUCUCAUCAGAGGUUCAACUGGGGAAGGAUCUGCUUCUAAGUUCAUUCAGGAUACAGAAAAGAAGAAGACACAGAGAGGGGAGAGAGAUGGCUGUGUGGAGACAGAGACCGAGAUGGGGUGAUGCGGCCAUCAGCCAAGGGUCAUCGGCCGCCAACAGGAGUUGGAAGAGGCAGGAAGGAUCCACCGCUGGAGCCUCUGGAGGGAGUGUGGCCCUGCCCACACCUUGAUUUCAGACUUCUGGCCUCCAGAACAGUGAGAGAAUAAGUAAGUGCAUGUCACUGUAAGCUACCGAGUUCGUGGUACUCUGUUACGGCAGCCUGGGUAAUGGAUACGUCUUCUGAUGAUGACCUC
rnacentral:lncRNA from 10 species